rnacentral:rRNA from 1 species
ACUGCGGAGGGAUCAUUACUGAGUUAUUAAAACUCCAAACCCUUUGUGAACCUUACUGUCGUUGCCUCGGCGUGAGCUACGUCUACCCUGUAGUUACCCUAUAGCUACCCUGCAGCUACCCUAUAGUUGACCAGUGGCUACCCUGUAGUUACCCUAUAGCUACCCUGCAGCUACCCUAUAGUUGACAUGUAGCUACCCUGUAGCCGGCUUAUGGCCCGCCGAAGGACCGCUAAACUCUUGUUUUUUUACCACUGUUUCUCUGAAUUGUAAACUUAAAUAAGUUAAAACUUUCAACAACGGAUCUCUUGGUUCUGGCAUCGAUGAAGAACGCAGCGAAAUGCGAUAAGUAAUGUGAAUUGCAGAAUUCAGUGAAUCAUCGAAUCUUUGAACGCACAUUGCGCCCAUUAGUAUUCUAGUGGGCAUGCCUAUUCGAGCGUCAUUUCGACCCUUAAGCCCCUGUUGCUUAGCGUUGGGAAUCUACAGCGUAGUUCCUUAAAGUUAGUGGCGGAGUUAGGGUACACUCUCAGCGUAGUAAUCUUUCUCGCUCGUGUGGUGGCCCUGGCUGCUAGCCGUUAAACCCCUAUAUUUUCUAGUGGUGACCUCGGAUUAGGUAGGA